AUGUCCAUGUCAGAUUGAACCACCGGUUUUCGUCCGAUCACCGAUGUUAAGGAAAGUUGAUCCUGGUCAGUACCAAGAUGGGUGACCGCUUAUAAAUUCCAGGUGCCGUAAG